rnacentral:rRNA from 1 species
AACGAACGCUGGCGGCAUGCCUAACACAUGCAAGUCGAACGAAAGCAUCGGGACUAGUUGCGCACGCGUGCGUAACGCGUGGGAACCUGCCCUUAGGUUCGGAAUAAUGCCCCGAAGGGGGUGCUAAUACCGGCUAAUGUCUUCGGACCAAAGAUGUAUCGCCUUUGGAUGGGCACGCGUUGUAAUGGCUGGUCGGUAUGGUAAAAGCCUACCACGGCGACGAUACAUAGAUGGUCAGAGAGGAUGAUCAGCGACACUGGUAGUGAGACACGGCCGAGACUCUUACGGGAGGGAGCAAUGGGGAAUAUAGGACAGUGGGGGGAGGGAUGAUCCAGCACUGCCGCGAAAGUGAUGAAGGCCUGAGGGUUGUAAAGCUCUUUUACCCGGGGUGAUAAUGACGGUACCGGGAGAAUAAGCUCCGGCUAACUCCGUG